AAGACCGCUUUUGUGGAGAUGGGCAAGGGUGUUGUGCCCAUGAAGCUCAGUGAAUAAUGCAGGGUGUGACUGACCACAGCUGUUGUAAAGAAACUG